AACCUAGCACACCUGCGGUGUGUACCUGCGGAAGGAUCAUUACACAAAUUAAAAUAUGAAGGCUUCGGCUGGAUUAUUUUUAUCACCCUUGUCUUUUGCGCACUUGUUGUUUCCUGGGCGGGUUCGCCCGCCACCAGGACCACACCAUAAACCUUUUUUAUGCAGUUGCAAUCAGCGUCAGUAUAACAAAUGUAAAUCAUUUACAACUUUCAGCAACGGAUCUCAGAUCGGAAGAGCACA
rnacentral:misc_RNA from 1 species